rnacentral:piRNA from 1 species
UAAUAGGAAAGCAGCCAGACCUGGCGCAGGU